AGUGUAUCAUCCAAAUCCCUAAUUCUAGCCAGUUUUGCACUUUCUACAGCAGCCCUCAUCUAAAAUCCUCCUCUUAGUCUGAUUUUUGGUGAUCAGCAUCACCUUAGUGUGUGAUCAUCAGUAGACAAACUAUUUACCUUGUUACCAAGCUGGUUUAACCACAGGAAGUUACAAGCACCUUCCUGUUGAUUUACUUUGGAUCCAAGUGCAAAUCUCUUCUUUGCCCCUGGACCGAUUUAUUUCCUCAUUUUGACUAAGGGCACGACGGUCCAUCUACUGGACAUGGUUGGCCCGGCCAGAACAUGCCGCUUGCACCAGUGCCCGUGGUGAUCACGCUGGUGUCACGCACAGUGCAAGCUCUAGCUCGGUCCGGCCACUAUUCUCGUCUCCUCCCUCCUUGUCUCGACCUCCAUUCAUGUUCUGGAGCUCGCCCGUGCUCGACUGCAUCGCCCUGCGUCGCUGCUUCGUCGUGGUUCGCCAUAAAUGAGCCGCUAGCUCCAUUCCCAUGCCGCGUUCAGCCUCUGCUCGCCAUUAAAGCUCGGUCGGGAGCUCGCUCGUGAGCUCUAGAGCUCUCCCCCGCGCCUAUAUAAGGACCCCGAACCCCUCUGCAGCUCAUUCACUCCUCCCUCGCCUCUCUAGCCCACCGAAGUCCUCGGCCCCCUCCUCUUUUCGCCAGAGAUCGCCUCGGCCGCCGCGGUUCCUCCUUGGUUCCGGCUAGCUCGAGCCUCCUCCUCUCCUCUGGUGUUGUCCACUGCCUCCCCCACACUCCCACGAGUCACCCCGACCCCUUUCCCCCUCGCCGGAGUGCCUCUGGCCGCAAGCCCCGAGUUCGGCCGUCGCCUCCGCCUCUCGGCCGCUUCCUUGUCCGGCCUCCCCGAGCAUCUUCUCGCCUCUUCACCACCACCAACCGACUCCCCGUGCUCCGGCGGUCCGCCCCACCACCUCGCCCUCGCCGGAGUCGUCCCUCAUCACCGGCUACCCCCUCUGCCCGACGCCUCUGCCUCCUCUCGUCGCCGCACCUCCAUGCCUCCCCGGUGGCCGCCGCCCCUGGGGACGGACGUGGCCAUCUCCUGUUUUCCUGCUGGUGGCCUCGUCUCGGCCAACGGUGGCUGGAGCCGGCCGGGCCAUCGCCUGCUUCGCCCCUGCCUCCCGCUCCUUGUUCCUCCCGUGCCGCUCUGCGUUGACGCGCGAGGAGGAAGAAGGCAGGAGCCAGGCGGACCCCGCCUCCCCCUCGGUCCCACUCGUCAGUGCCUAGGCGUUGACCCCACCCAGGCCCAGGAACCCGUUGGUGAUAAAUUUUCACAGAUUAGUCCCCAUUCUUCCAACCUUCACAACUUUUCAACCGUAACUCCGAUUGAGCCCCCUCCGAGAGAGAACCGUCCAACGUUUCGUUCUGCGGCCUCACCGCACUUUUUCCCGGAAUCUCCAUCACCCCAGGCAAGCCACAAUACCCACUUGCAUGAUAGUCAUACAGUAGCCAUGGUUUUCAACUUGAAUAAUUAUUAAAUGUUUGCUUGUUUAAAAUAUGGUUAUCGUUGUUUCGGUAAUGCUUCUGGAUUAGUGCUUACUUUCUUGCUAUGUUGUUAUGCACCUGGUUGCCAUGCCCUGCUAGUUGUUAGUAUUCCUUUCAUAUGCUUAUGCUUGCUAGUAGUACAUGUUGAUGUUGGUGAUGGUCUUCGGUGCAUGACUACCGUCUGUCCCGAGUAUCGUUGUUAUGCAUGUUCCAUUGCAUCCCGCUGGCAAAUGCUUGCAUGAUGGCAUUGUUGAUAUGUUCUUGCAUGAUAUUUAUUGUUGAUGCUAGUGGUCAUGCUAUGUUUCGGAGAAGUAUGUACUUAUGAUGUUCAUGCUAGUCAGUAUGCCAUGCUUAGUUGGAUAUGAUUCAUUGUUGAUAUGGUGGAUAGUUAUGUGGUACCCUCAUGAUUAUGUUGAUAUCAUGCUCAUGCAUUGUAAUCGCACCAUGUUGUUUAUCAUGGCUCAACAUAUUUGCAUUCAAGUUUAACCGGAUUAAAUUCAACUUGAACAACUGUUGGCUGAGUCAUGGUGCCACCAUAUCGAACUGACCAGUGCAACCACGCUUACCUUUAUGGGAAGGUCCUAACUGGGUCUAUUGUCGUGCCUCUCGCCAGUGCCUCCAACGAGGGAAGGUUAUAGGCGUGCGGUACCUUUGCCCGGUAAGCAGACAUAACCUUGUGUGCCCGUUGUUGUUGUUAUGGAUCCGGGUCCCCAUUUGGGACCGUUUAUGUUUGGCCACGACGGUGGUCGUUGGUGUCUUUGGUAGACACGGGGCCACCCAAGACUAGCCCAGUGGGGAGUGAGUCGGAGUGGCCGGGAGAGUGUCAUGGCAGUAGAUCGGUUUUGUCGGAACGCCAUUGGUCCACCCGAAUGGGAGUGCGAGGCCAUGGGUUCCGUGGUGUGGGUACAGUGUGCUAACCUCUGCAGAGUGUAUACUAAAUCUAUGGAUAGCCAUGCCCGCGGAUAAGGGCCCAGUUCGUGUCGGUCACACUGUGAGUCAAUAGUAAUAAUAAUAAUGUGCUUAAUAACAACCCCGGUUCGAUGAUGAGAUAAGUUGGUUGUGAUCGCCGGAAAGAUCACCGUUUGAGACCAAGUGUUGGUUAGGGUUGUGAUCGCCGAAAUGAUCACCGUGGUAUCGAGGAUACCGAGUUGUUGGAUAUUCGUGAUGUUGUGCGAGAAUCAUGGGUAAAGAUCAAUCUCCUUGUGGUCAUUU